CCUACGGGGGGCUGCAGUGGGGAAUAUUGGACAAUGGGGGCAACCCUGAUCCAGCCAUGCCGCGUGUGUGAAGAAGGCCCUCGGGUUGUAAAGCACUUUCAGUGAGGAAGAACGCCUGGUGGUUAAUACCCAUCAGGAAAGACAUCACUCACAGAAGAAGCACCGGCUAACUCCGUGCCAGCAGCCGCGGUAAUACGGAGGGUGCGAGCGUUAAUCGGAAUUACUGGGCGUAAAGCGCGCGUAGGUGGCUUGAUAAGCCGGUUGUGAAAGCCCCGGGCUCAACCUGGGAACGGCAUCCGGAACUGUCAAGCUAGAGUGCAGGAGAGGAAGGUAGAAUUCCCGGUGUAGCGGUGAAAUGCGUAGAGAUCGGGAGGAAUACCAGUGGCGAAGGCGGCCUUCUGGACUGACACUGACACUGAGGUGCGAAAGCGUGGGUAGCAAACAGGAUUAUAUACCCCGGUAGUC
rnacentral:rRNA from 1 species